GUCAAGUUUAAGUUUUGCUUUUCUGUAAGUUUAAGUUCUGUUUUCCUGGAACCCGAAACUUAUGUUAAAAACAGUUACUUAUGUCAAAAUGUACCCUGACCCAACACCCCCUGACAAAACGCAUGAUUAUUCUGUAAUGGUUAUUUUGUAACAAUCCCACCCUCGCACCCUAACUGCCAUAUGAACUUCCCUGUUUAAACACUGCAUAAAAACUCUGCUUAAGCUGUGCUCAGGGCUCCAGCUUCUCUCAGGAGAACUCUGAGACCCAGCAUGCUGGUCCAAUAAACGCCUUUGCUUUUGCAUGAGACAGUCUCUUGGUGGUCCUUUCCUCCAACGUUUGCCCAACCCUAACAUUUGGGGGCUUGUCCGGGAUUCGGCAGCGGCGGACGAAAGACCCCAACGGACAUUUCUUGGGGGAAGUAAGGCGCCUCCUUUUUGUUUUGAUUUUGUUUUCUUCUUUGCGAUCGCUCAGGACUUUUAAUUUUAGGGCUUGGCAAGGUGGCUGUUGGCGGAGAGCAUAAGUUCUCCCUGACGGUGGUGGACAGACGUGUCCAGAAGCCACAGGCCACAUCCCCAGGGGACGCCUUGGUGGACUCGGGAAAUCGAGGGAUGGAAGUGCCCCCGAUGCGAGGGACAGAAGAGCCCUCAGCUCAGGUGUAUUUUGCCACUGAUUCAGACUCAGUGACUCUGUUGCCAGCCCGUCAGUUUCUGCUGGCUACUCAGUUUUGGUUUCUAUUUCAAACUUGUGGUGGACGUUUAUUGUUUGUCUUUGUUGUCUGUGUCAUUACUUUCACUGUUUGCAUAUCCCUCAUUAUGGGACAAGGUACCUCAACUCCCCUGUCUUUGACCCUUGAUCAUUGGACUAAAGUCCACUCAAGGGCCCAGAAUCUCUCUUUUUCAGUGAAACACCGGACCUGGCAGACUCUCUGUACAUCAGAUGGCCCACUCUCGGAGUCGGAUGGCCCCCAGAAGGAUCCUUUCACCUCCCUCUAAUCCGAAAAGUCAGAAAUAUUGUCUUCCAGCCAGGGCCACAUGGUCAUCCAGAUCAACAGCCAUAUAUUCUCACUUGGCAGAACCUCUGUGAAUCUCCCCCUUCAUGGGUGAAACCUUUUCUGGUACCUGCCUCCACCUCUACCCCCACCAUUCUGUCCCUCAAACCCUCCACUCCUUCUCCUCUUCCUCCCCCUCUUCCCUCCAUCCUCCCUGAAUCUCAGGAUCUAACCUUACUAGAUUCCCCUCCUCCACCCCCAUAUCCCUUGCCCCUCAGCUCCCAAUGUCCUAUAGACAAUUCCCCUGAAGCAGAUCCGAUCCCUUCAGUAGAGGAAACUGCUCCAGAUGACUCCCUUACGGUAACCCCAACUCCUCCUCCAUCAGAGGAAAUUGGGCCAGCAGGGGGAACCUGCUGACGGCGAAUAAUUAAGAAUCCUGAUGCUCCAGUAAUGCUCCCCCUCCGCCCCUAUGGGCCAAUGAUUGAUGAUGGACAAGGGGGAGAAAUACAAGUUUACCAAUAUUGGCCCUUCUCCUCUUCUGAUCUAUAUAACAGGAAAAAUAAUAAUCCCCCUUUUUCUAAAGAUCCCACAGACUCACAGGUUUAAUAGAGUCACUGAUGUUUUCACACCAGCCUACUUGGGAUGAUUGCCAACAGCUUCUAGGGACCCUCUUCACAACUGAGGAACGAGAGAGGAUCCUCCUGGAAUCUAGCAAAAAUAUUCUUGGACCAGAUGGACAACCAAC
rnacentral:lncRNA from 1 species